AUUGAACGCUGGCGGCAUGCCUUACACAUGCAAGUCGAACGGUAACAGGUCUUCGGAUGCUGACGAGCGGCGAACGGGUGAGUAAUGCAUCGGAACGUGCCCAGUCGUGGGGGAUAACUGCUCGAAAGAGCAGCUAAUACCGCAUACGACCUGAGGGUGAAAGCGGGGGACCGUAAGGCCUCGCGCGAUUGGAGCGGCCGAUGUCAGAUUAGCUAGUUGGUGGGGUAAAGGCCUACCAAGGCAACGAUCUGUAGUUGGUCUGAGAGGACGACCAGCCACACUGGGACUGAGACACGGCCCAGACUCCUACGGGAGGCAGCAGUGGGGAAUUUUGGACAAUGGGCGCAAGCCUGAUCCAGCAAUGCCGCGUGCAGGAAGAAGGCCUUCGGGUUGUAAACUGCUUUUGUCAGGGAAGAAAUCCUCUGGGUUAAUACCUCGGGGGGAUGACGGUACCUGAAGAAUAAGCACCGGCUAACUACGUGCCAGCAGCCGCGGUAACAC
rnacentral:rRNA from 1 species